rnacentral:rRNA from 1 species
GUGGGGAAUAUUGGACAAUGGGCGAAAGCCUGAUCCAGCCAUGCCGCGUGUGUGAAGAAGGUCUUCGGAUUGUAAAGCACUUUAAGUUGGGAGGAAGGGUAGUAACCUAAUACGUUGCUACUUUGACGUUACCGACAGAAUAAGCACCGGCUAACUUCGUGCCAGCAGCCGCGGUAAUACGAAGGGUGCAAGCGUUAAUCGGAAUUACUGGGCGUAAAGCGCGCGUAGGUGGUUCAGUAAGUUGGAAGUGAAAUCCCCGGGCUCAACCUGGGAACUGCUUUCAAAACUGCUGAGCUAGAGUACGGUAGAGGGUGGUGGAAUUUCCUGUGUAGCGGUGAAAUGCGUAGAUAUAGGAAGGAACACCAGUGGCGAAGGCGACCACCUGGACUGAUACUGACACUGAGGUGCGAAAGCGUGGGGAGCAAACAGGAUUAGAUACCCGGGUAGUCC